AAGUCAUUAUGGGGACAAUUCCUCAACAGACCUUUAUACCUCUCCCACGCCUCAUAUAGUGACUCUCCCGGUUGUUGCUCAAAGUUGGCAAUGGCUUUCUUCAAUUU